AGAGAGCCAAGGAGAGAAGGGCCAGGGAGGACACAGCUGGCUGGCUGCCUGAGGCCCCAGGGUCCUUCCUGGCUCCCUGUCCAGGCUCCACCCACAGUCACAGCAAUGCCUGGAACCUUCUAGGACAGCCAGAUCCUGACCUACCAGUAUGGGAUCCCCACCUCUCUCCGGAACACAGGCCAGCAGUGGGACUUCCCUAAUGGCUGGGCCCCUCUCCAGGACCUGGUCAUCAGAGGCUUGGCCAAGUCAUCUUCACCUCGGACCCAGGAAGUGGCUUUCCAGCUGGCCCAGAAUUGGAUUCGAACCAACUUUGACGUCUACUCACAAAAGUCAGCCAUGUAUGAGAAGUACGACAUCAGCAAUGGACAGCCGGGCAGUGGAGGGGAGUAUGAAGUUCAGUACCGGGAUUGAACUCAGAACCUUGUGCUUGUGAGGCAGGUUAAUUUUUACCAGCUGUUCCUCAGACAAAGGUCUACUAUCUAAAAUAUAUAAAGAACUAAAAAAAAAUCAUACGCUCCAAAUAUAAAGACCCAGUUCAAAAAUGGGCAUCUGAAAUGAACAGACGUUUCUCAAAGAAGUAAAAGCAGCAAAUAAAUAUAUGAAAAAAUGUUCAACGUCACUGGUCAUUCAAGAGAUGCAGAUGAAAACAACACUGAGAUUCCAUCUCACCCCAGUAAGAAUGGCUGCUAUCAAGAAAUCAACCAAUAACAAAUGCUGGCAGGGUUUUGGGGGAAAAAGGAACCCUGCUCCACUGCUGGUGGGAGUGCAGACUGGUGCAACCACUGUGGAAAUCAGUGUGGAGAUACCUCAAAGAACUAGGACUAGAGGUCCCAUUUGACCCCGCUAUUCCUCUGCUGGGUAUCUUCCCAAAAGAAGUCAAAGAAUGAUACCACAGUGAUAUAUGCUCACCCAUGUUUAUAGCAGCAGAGUUUGUAAUAGCUAAAACUUGGAAACAGCCCAAGUGCACAUCAACUGGAGACUGGAUAAACAAGAUGUGGUUUUUUUAAUAAAAUGGAGUACUUACUACUUGCCCAUAAAGAAUGAGAAACUAGAGACAUUUAUAGAUAAAUGGAUGCAUAUUGAGGCCAUACUCUUAAGUGAAAUAAAUAGGACACACAUGUGUAAAUACCGAAUAGUUUCUCUGGUGUGAAAAACUAAAAGUGUAAAUAAGGAUCAAAAUGUAUAAUUGAUAUUGUGAAAUAGGAAGAAAACAUCUAAAGGAGUAAGGGAAGUGGGAGGGGUAGGGAAAAGGAAAGAAGGGAAAAGAAAAAAUAUGAGAAAAGGAAAAAAAUGGAAACAAAGUCUUUGUAAAUAAGG
rnacentral:lncRNA from 1 species